rnacentral:rRNA from 1 species
GACGAACGCUGGCGGCGUGCUUAACACAUGCAAGUCGAACGGAAAGGCCCUGCUUGCAGGGUCCUCGAGUGGCGAACGGGUGAGUAACACGUGUGUGAUCUGCCCUGCACUUCGGGAUAAGCCUGGGAAACUGGGUCUAAUACCGGAUAGGAGCCAUUUUUAUUGUGAUGGUUGGAAAGUUUUUUCGGUGUAGGGUGAGCUCGCGGCCUAUCAGCUUGUUGGUGGGGUAAUGGCCUACCAAGGCGGCGACGGGUAGCCGGCCUGAGAGGGUGGACGGCCACAUUGGGACUGAGAUACGGCCCAGACUCCUACGGGAGGCAGCAGUGGGGAAGAGUGCACAAUGGGCGCAAGGCGGAUGCAGCGACGCCGCGGGGGGGAGGACGGCCUUCGGGUUGGAAAAUCCUUUCGCUAGGGACGAAGCUUUUUGUGACGGUACCUGGAGAAGAAGCACCGGCUAACUACGUG